rnacentral:rRNA from 1 species
UACAGAGGUCCCAAGCGUUGUUCGGAUUCACUGGGCGUAAAGGGUGCGUAGGUGGUGAGGCAAGUCGGAUGUGAAAUCUCCAAGCUCAACUUGGAAACUGCAUUGGAAACUACCUUGCUAGAGGAUUUGAGGGGGGAUUGGAAUACUUGGUGUAGCAGUGAAAUGCGUAGAUAUCAAGUGGAACACCAGUGGCGAAGGCGAAUCCCUGGAAAAUACCUGACACUGAGGCACGAAAGCUAGGGGAGCAAACAGG